UACGUAGGGUGCAAGCGUUGUCCGGAAUUAUUGGGCGUAAAGAGCUCGUAGGCGGUCUGUCGCGUCGGCUGUGAAAACCCGCGGCUCAACCUCGAGCCUGCAGUCGAUACGGGCAGACUAGAGUGCGGUAGGGGAGACUGGAAUUCCUGGUGUAGCGGUGAAAUGCGCAGAUAUCAGGAAGAACACCUAUGGCGAAGGCAGCACUCUGGGACGGUACUGACGCUGAGACGCGAAAGCGUGGGGAGCGAACAGG
rnacentral:rRNA from 1 species